UAGGGAAUCUUCGGCAAUGGACGGAAGUCUGACCGAGCAACGCCGCGUGAGUGAAGAAGGUUUUCGGAUCGUAAAGCUCUGUUGUAAGAGAAGAACGAGUGUGAGAGUGGAAAGUUCACACUGUGACGGUAUCUUACCAGAAAGGGACGGCUAACUACGUGCCAGCAGCCGCGGUAAUACGUAGGUCCCGAGCGUUGUCCGGAUUUAUUGGGCGUAAAGCGAGCGCAGGCGGUUAGAUAAGUCUGAAGUUAAAGGCUGUGGCUUAACCAUAGUACGCUUUGGAAACUGUUUAACUUGAGUGCAAGAGGGGAGAGUGGAAUUCCAUGUGUAGCGGUGAAAUGCGUAGAUAUAUGGAGGAACACCGGUGGCGAAAGCGGCUCUCUGGCUUGUAACUGACGCUGAGGCUCGAAAGCGUGGGGAGCAAACA
rnacentral:rRNA from 3 species